rnacentral:misc_RNA from 1 species
UUCCUAAUUAAGUGGAGUAAUUAUAGGAGAUUAUUAUAUAUAAAUAUGUAAUCUUUUAUUAUAUAGAAUAAUGAGAAUAAAGAUGUCGUCUUUUGAGUUCUUUCCUUGCUCUUCCUUCUUUCUCUUUCUCUUUCUCUGUCUUUCUCUUCUUAAUCUUAAAAAUUAAGAGACUUCAUUUAACAUUUUUAGAAGCUGAGGCCUACAUUAGGAAAAUGCUACAAGUUUGAGGCUAAAUCCAAAGAAUUCCUUAACAAGAAUGUAUAGUAGUAAAUGUUGAACCUAAACAUGUUUACCUCAAUAUGACUUAAAGCAUAACUAAAGGCUUAAAAUAUGGUUAAAGAAAAAUUUUCCUUCCCCAUGCUGUCAAGUUCAAUACAGAUAUGGAAGGGAUUCAGCCUUCAACAUAAUUAGGAAAAUAAAAAAUGGCGCAGAAGAAAUGGAAACAAUAUAUUAGGUUCUGAAAGACCUACAUAGUGCAGAACAAAAAAAAAGGUAUAGUUCUAAUAUUGAAAGCUAUCAAAGAUCAACCUUUUUUAAUACAUGAAAGCAUAUAUUAAAGGUGAAUGAUAUAGGAAAUGAUGUGAUUUAAUAAAUGUUGAAAAACUGCAUGAAACCAAAUGCAAAAUUUUUCCACCAAAUGUUGAAAAAAACAUGUAUUAAGAAUCAUUUUACAUACUUGAGCCUGGAAGACACAGGGUUUACUGUUGUGCCAGCAACCACAUAAUAUGAUUGCUAAAUUGAACUAUAUAUUAUUAAUCCAUACGAUAUAUUUUCUAGUGUAAAUAAAUCUGCAAGUUCAGACAUCCAUCAAUAUCUUAUCUAUGCUCCAAAUUUAUCACAUCACAUCCUAUAUAUCAAUUAAUGGCUUAUCACUGCAGUAACAUUACAUUUCAACAACAUUUCAUGUCAAAUGAAUUGCUUUAUUGGCCAUUAAAAUUGUCUCUUGAUCAAUGAGAUGAUAUGAAAUUAUGAAUUAUUAAAAGACUUCAUACAUGGUGUAGCAAGGUGGUAUACUAUGUCAUUUAAAUGGUCUAUUAGUCAAUCAGAUGAAAUGAAUCAUUAAAAGACUUCAUGCAUAGAUUAGCAAAGUGUUAUACACAUAUCCUUGCACCCUUAGCAAGCCUAAUUGAUACAAAAAGCAAAUAUUCAAUUGUUUAAAAUUCAAAAUAAUAUAGUAGAUGAAAGAUUUACAGGCCUGAUGGAUGACUUCUAGGAGGAAGACUUUGUUUUUGCAUGUCAUGUCCAGCAAAUGCCUGCAAAUAAACAAAAUCUCAUUCAUUUGUAAUCUUCACAACAACCGCUAAAUAUUUAGCUUUAAAACUAGAAGGCACUUUCCCAUACAAAUUCAAAUGUAGUUUAGACAAACCUCUUCACCCCUCACUUGUGAUGCAUGUGAGACUAAACUUGUGGAAGUAGACACUGUUGGACUAUGAGAAAAUGGAUUCUGAAUUAAUCGCAGUUUAUCAAGUUUUACCAAAUCACUUUCCUUGGCAAAUCCUAAAGGUCGAUUAUUUAGAUGUGCUGUGGUGCUAUCUUCCUCCAUCAGCCAGCCUCCCUGUGGCUGUAUAGAGGAUGAUGGCAUUGGCGCAGGUACCAAGGAUGAUGGUAUUGGCACAGGUACCCUAGACAGAAGUGAUGGCUGACCUGAAUUUUGAUUUCUUAAAUCUCGUCUCACAGGUGCUCCAAGCAAACUAGGUUUCUGUGAAGGAAUGAGUGUUGUCAAAGACAUUGGUCCAGCGACAUUAGGAAUUAUUGCAAUAGGUGACUGGGAGAUUUCAGAUCUCAACUCAAGACUAUUUGUCAUACAAUGGCCAGUUGGGUUAAUAACAUUCUUCUCAUCCUGAUAAAUAUAAGAAUUAAGGACAGCAGAACAAAUAUAGCAAGUGUCCAGUCCAUGCAAAAAAAUAACAGGAGCAGAAAAUAUAUUAUUUAUAAGCACGGAUGUUAUAUUAUUCUCUGCCAAUUUGUUAGAAACCAAAAUGGAGUGCAGUUGAAGCCCUUUUAUUACUCAAACAAGCCAAAUAAGCAUUUGUCCUGAUUAAUUAGAAUCAAGGAAGAGAACUAACCAAUGGGUUCAAUCUCUGUUCAACUUCAACACCACUCAUGCCUUCAUUAAUGGGAGCGUUAUUAAAACCGUUGGGUACAAAACCGGCAUCCUCUGACAUCAUGUAGUUGCUCACAUCAGGAGCAUGAGGUAAAUUACUAGCAUCAUCUUCAUAAAAGACUUCAGAGAUUCUUCGUAUUAAAUUCUCAUCAAAUUCUUUGAAAAAACAACCCCUGACGUUGCAAGCAACAUUUCUCGCCACACAGAGGAUAGGAACGGCAUUUGCUGUCUCUGCCUGAGGAGCGUAGUAAGGUGUGAAUGCAGGAACUACAUGAACUCGUGGUUGAUCCUUGUCUUCCCAGACCUUUGACCGAUCAUCAAUUACCAUUGCCAUCUUUGGAUGGCACAUGCCAUCUUGGAAGACAUUAGACAAAGAUUUCCUGGAGCCUGAUCUAACACAAACAACACGGUCCGGCAGUUGUUUAGCAGAUAUCAGGUGUGACUCUGGGUCAAGAAGCCUCCACAUUUCUAAGGCAUAAUCUCUUUCAGCCAUUGUACAAACAUAAACUUCAAAUCGUUUGCGUCCUUUUGCAGUUAAAUAACUUCGUAAAUCCUCCCAUGCAGGCCUCAACCUCACAAGUACACUAGUAUCACGAAUCUCAGGAUUGAUACGAGUGAGGACAAUAUUCCUAUCUUGCAAUCUAAUCACAGGCCUAACAAGUCUCUCGUGUGUUUCAGAGAGUAGUGUAACCUCCUCUAGUUGAACCUUAAACAUUUUUCCAUUAUCCAUAACAUAAUCGCUGUCAGUGUAUUGCUUCAAUAGCAUUCGAUCCUCCAUAUACCGCUUCAACUCAGCAGACAUUCCAGAUAGCCUCAGUGGAUCAGUCUCGCGUGCAAUCCAAGUCCUAAGAGUCUCAAUUCUAUCCUCAAAUGACUUCAUAGUGUUAGCGACUAUAAGGGUCUCAUCAAGGUCAAACACAAUAGCUAGACACCGCAAAUUGAGCAUGCCCAAGCACGAAUCAAAAAGACCUACAGGAACUGGAAAGCACCAAAAGCACGGAAACUUCUUCAGCUUACUCGGCAUUGCCACUAAGUGUAUCUCCUCAUCUCCAAUCAAAACCACUGCCGUCUUGAAUUCAUGGAAGCAAACAGCGUGAAGGUUGAUCAAAUGGGACUGCUCGUGUGGAGAAGAAGAUUCAAGCUUAAAGCGAACGGAAAACGAAGAAAUAGUUUGCAGAAUUGAAAGAGGAGGGCAACGCCCACUUUGCGAGAUGCGGUGGAUUCGUAUCUCGUUGUUUGGGAACUGGAAAGUCUUGUCUGUCACCGGAAUAGCGUCCAGUUCUCCCAAACAAAGGUCACCGUGAUAGACCACGGAUUUAAACCCUAAACGACUCAUUGGAAACCGCUUCUGAUAAGAGAAAUGGAAGAGAGAAUGCUAGAAGAUGAACAGAAGAGACAAUGCGAUGAAAUUUUCUAGCGAGUUGAACGAAAUAGGCUUCUUUUUUUCUUUUAAUUUCUCUCUAUUUAUCACUUAUUCUCUCACUCUAAUGCCUGCUUCUUAGGCCUCAGUGUCUCUCUCUUUUUCUCUCUCACCAUCCCCUCCCUCU